CCCUUAGAUGUUCUGGGCCGCACGCGUGCUACACUGAGUGGAUCAGCGGGUCAGGUUGCGCGAAAGUGUUUCCUAAUCUUUAAAUCCGCUCGUGAUGGGGAUUGACGGUUGCAAUUUUCCGUCAUGAACGAGGAAUACCUUGUAAGCGCGGGUCAUCAUCCCGCGCUGAAUACGUCCCUGCCCUUCGUACACACCGCCCGUCGCUCCUACCGAUUGAGUGGUCCGGUGAGGCUUUGGGAUCUGGGCGGAAAGAGCGUUUCGCUGUUUCUGCCCGGAAAACUCAGUCGAACCUUAUCAUUUAGAGGAAGGAGAAGUCGUAACA
rnacentral:rRNA from 1 species